rnacentral:rRNA from 1 species
GUCUAUGGCCAUGCCACCCUGAAUAUGCCCGAUCUCAUCUGAUCUCGGAAGCUAAGCAGGGUCGGACCUGGUUAGUACUUGGAUGGGAGACACCCUAGGAAUACCAGGUGCUGUAGGCA